rnacentral:tRNA from 1 species
GGGGAUGGACCAUGGUUCCAUGGUAGAGCAUCAGCUUAGCACGCAGAAGAUCCUAGGUUUCAUCUCCUGGCAUCUCCA